rnacentral:rRNA from 1 species
AACCUUUAGCCAAACAAGUAUUAAAGGCAACGCCUGCCCAGUGAACAAUUAAACGGCCGCGGUACCCUAACCGUGCAAAGGUAGCAUAAUCAUUUGUCUACUAAUUAUAGACCUGUAUGAAAGGCAAAAUGAGGGUUUAACUGUCUCUUAUAGUCAACCAAUUAAACUGAUCUCCUAGUAAAAAAGCUAGAAUACCAACAUAAGACCAGAAGACCCUGUGAAGCUUUAAUUAAACUAUUAAACCCAAUAAUAACUAAUUUAGGUUGGGGCGACCUUGGAAAUAAAAAGAACUUCCAAAAAUGAUAUACUUCACACCAAUAGGCACACAAGCCAUUAAACGACCCAGUACAACUGACAAACGGACCAAGUUACUCCAGGGAUAACAGCGCAAUCUUCUUCAAGAGCCCAUAUCAAAAAGAAGGUUUACGACCUCGAUGUUGGAUCAGGACAUCCUAAUGGUGCAACCGCUAUUAAGGGUUCGUUUGUUCAACGAUUAACAGUCCU